rnacentral:tRNA from 1 species
GGCGUUAUAGCAUAAUUGGAAUUGCAAGAGUUUGCAAAAUUAUUAGUAUGGGUUCAAUUCCCAUUGGCGCCU